CGGUAAUACCAGCUCUCCGAGUGGUGUGGAUGUUUAUUGGGCCUAAAGCAUCCGUAGCUGGCUAAGUUAGUCCCUUGUUAAAUCCACCGAAUUAAUCGUUGGAUUGCGGGGGAUACUGCUUAGCUAGGGGACGAGAGAGGCAGACGGUAUUUCCGGGGUAGGGGUGAAAUCCUAUAAUCCCGGGAAGACCACCAGUGGCGAAGGCUGUCGGCUAGAACGCG
rnacentral:rRNA from 1 species